rnacentral:lncRNA from 10 species
CUCAAAUCCAUCUCCUUGAGCAUUGAAGCAUUCAGGGAUCAGAGUUUUCAAGGAUAACUUGGGUGGGGGGAAGCCAGUGAGCCAGGAGUGCUGAUUGGUCAGAGAUGAAAUCAUAGGGAGUCAAAGCGGUCUUCUUGCCCUUAUCAGUUCCUGGGUGAGGGGCCACAAGAUCUGAUGAGCCAGUUUAUUGAUCUGGGUGGUGCCAGCUGAUCCAUCAAGUGCAGGUUCUGCAAAAUAUCUCAAGCACUGAUCUUAGGAGCAGUUUAGGGAGGGUCAGAAUAUUGUAGCCUCCAGCUGCAUAUUAGAAACUACUCCUAAAACGUAAUUUCUA